rnacentral:lncRNA from 1 species
AGAUUCAAAUGCUGCACUGUUCAUCCUUUGAACAAGUUGCUGAUAUCAUGACUAAGGCUUUAAGCCUUGACAACUUUUGCAGGAUCAGAGAUAUGUUAGGUUUGUAUAAGAUUGAAGAUGUAAUUGUAAACUGAAUCCUUGUAUAGUAUACAGUUUAGGAGAGGCAUUGUUAGAGUGUGAGCUGCAGAAGCUGNNNCGCGCGCGUGGGUUACUUAGAGGCCAAGUUAAGUCAGUUAGUUUGUUAUGAGUUUGUUGUGACCUCCUUGCAAGUGCUAUAUAAGGCCUUGUAUAUGUGAAUAAACACUAGAGAUUGCUUUUGCCUUAACA